CUGGCCCUCAAGCUGCAGCUUUGUGACGCUGUUGGUUUCAAGCAGGGGCCUAAAGAGAUGUCUUUCUAUGGCCUGUUGGCCAUUUCAGAAUUUGGGCAGUGAAGUGGUCAAUUCAUUAGAAAGAAACAACU
rnacentral:snoRNA from 1 species